rnacentral:lncRNA from 1 species
GAAUGUGUCCUUCUCUUUGAAAAGAUUGCCUGGUACUCAGUCGCUUACCACCUGAACCUACAUGUAGCCCGUGAUGGCGCUAAUGAAAGUGGUGACUGAGAUGGCUCCUCCAUCCAAGGGAUAUAGUCCCACUUUAUUUUUCCAAAUACCUGGCUGUGAGUAUGUCUCCAAAGUAACAGAAAGGAUGGGCAAACUCCUCCACUGAUGGAUGGAGCUGCUUGCGUCCCCUCCGGCAGCUUUGCUUCCCUGGCCAGUGUCUGAAGCCAGUCUGUGUUGGGGGAACAGCCUGAAGACAGAAGACUGGACCACUUUCCCUCUGACACUGCCUUCCUG